AAUAAGAAUGACUGCCCCCACCCCUGGCCCCUCCCUACCCCCACUCCACACAAGCAUGCCCCCAGUCUAUGGAAUGUAAACACUUGGCCCUCAGUCAGUGACAUUGUUUGGGAAGGAUUAGGAGUUCCUCUUUGAAGGAAGUACCUCACUGUGGGGGCAGGGUCUCGGAGUUUAAAGCUUCACACUGCUCUCAGUUGGCUCUCUCUGUUCCAAGACUUCAGUGCAUCAUGCUACAGCUUCCUGCUUCUACUGCUAUACCUGCCUCAUGCAGCCAUGCCUCCCUCCCAGGAAGAACUCUUAUGCUUCUGGAAGUAAAAGCUCCAAAACAAUCUUCUAUAAGCUCUGCUGGUCAAGAUCUCAACUUCUCCCCUAAGAAGCAGUAUGUAAGCUAAGUGCCACCAUGAUGGGCACCACAGCACGAGGUAGAGCCUGGACUGCCACCGUGAGAGAUGGGCACCACCGCACAAGUUACAGCCUGGACUUCAGGAGGGGUGAUGAUCAGAAUGGUCUCAAGCAACUCCAGAAUUUCCACACCAAAGCAGAAGGCUUAU